CUGAACUGUAGAGAAUCAGAAUGCUCAGUCAUCAAACCCACAAAACUGUAAGAGGAUUCCUUUAGAAUGACAACUCGUCAAAAUAGAAGUUCCUUUCUAGCAGAAAUUUGCUUAUGGGAAAACUGAGGCCCAGAGAAGCAAAGUGUAUUUCCUAGGGUCACACAGCCUAGGUCUCCAGACUGGAUGUCCUUCUUUCUGCAGGUCUGGAUUUGGGGAUCUGUAGGGAUGCUGUUGGUGCCUUACCUGAUCCCCUGGGAUCCUCUUUGGCAACUGAGUCUGCAUCACCCAGCUGUUGUGUAGGGUGCUGCUAACUGCUCAUACCUCCAACCCUUCUUCAGAGAAUUGCUUUGGAGUGACUGGAGCCACUUUGCCUGCAGGAAACUGAGAGUUUUACAUUCCCUUCCAUGGCAGCCCAUAGUCAGUGACUGGCAUAUGCUGGGGUACAAAAGUCAAGUCUCCUCAUCUCAAGGUGUGCAGUGCCAUUAACACCCCAGGGCUCCUGGUCAGAUCAGGAUGAGGCUAGAUUUUACCUGAAACCACAUCAUUGCCUGACUUCUUCCACUUUUCUAUCUUGUUUCUUCCAUACCAA
rnacentral:lncRNA from 1 species